GCUUGUUGGCUUAGUGGACAGCGGAGUUGGGCAGACUCAACGCUGAUUUUCAUUCCUCUGGGUCACAGGUUCGAUCUGUUUGGGUAUGAGGUAGAAAGAAGGAAAAUAAUAAUAAUAAUUAUUGGUGACUAUCGUUAAGGUAUUUCAAAAUACCUUUUUUUCUUUUCUUUUUUCUUUUCUUUUUUAGUUACUUUUACAUUUUUUUUAUUUUUUAUUAUUAUUUUGAAAAAAAAAAUUUCU
rnacentral:lncRNA from 1 species